CCAAAGCUAGCCCAAACACCUCUACAACUNNNNNNNNNNNNNNNNNNNNNNNNNNNNNNNNNNNNNACUCUUAAAAGUAUAGGAGAUAGAAAUUUAACUUGGCGCUAUAGAGAUAGUACCGCAAGGGAAAGAUGAAAGAAGAAUUAAAAGCACAAAACAGCAAAGAUUACCCCUUGUACCUUUUGCAUAAUGAGUUAGCUAGACAUAAUCUAACAAAGAGAACUUAAGCUAGAUACCCCGAAACCAGACGAGCUACCUAUGAACAAUCUAUUACAGGAUGAACUCGUCUAUGUCGCAAAAUAGUGAGAUGAUUUAUAGGUAGAGGUGAAACGCCUAACGAGCCUGGUGAUAGCUGGUUGCCCAGAAUAGAAUUUUAGUUCGACUUUAAACUUACCUAAAAAAACCAAUGAAUUCUAAUGUAAGUUUAAAAUAUAUUCUAAAAAGGUACAGCUUUUUAGAACUAGGAUACAGCCUUUUUUAGAGAGUAAGCAUUAAAACAACCAUAGUUGGCUUAAAAGCAGCCACCAAUUAAGAAAGCGUUCAAGCUCAACAAUCAUAAAAACUUAAUACCAAAAAUAUGCAACCAACUCCUAAUAUAAAUACUGGGCUAAUCUAUUUAAUAAUAGAAGAAACAAUGCUAAUAUGAGUAACAAGAAUUAUUUCUCCUUGCAUAAGCUUAUAUCAGAACGGAUGCCCACUGAUAGUUAACAACAAGAUACCUACAACCCAACAAUAAACCAAGUAUCAACUCAACUGUUAACCCAACACAGGUAUGCAAUUAAGGAAAGAUUAAAAGAAGUAAAAGGAACUCGGCAAACAUAAACCCCGCCUGUUUACCAAAAACAUCACCUCUAGCAUAUCUAGUAUUAGAGGCACUGCCUGCCCAGUGACAUUAGUUAAACGGCCGCGGUAUCCUGACCGUGCAAAGGUAGCAUAAUCAUUUGUUCCUUAAAUAGGGACUUGCAUGAAUGGCCACACGAGGGUUUUACUGUCUCUUACUUCCAAUCAGUGAAAUUGACCUUCCCGUGAAGAGGCGGGAAUACAAAAAUAAGACGAGAAGACCCUAUGGAGCUUUCAUUAGCUGGCCCAAAGAGACGACACCAAUACAACCAUUAGGGCAACAAAUCUCCAUAUGGGCCACAACUGAGGUUGGGGUGGUCUCGCAGAAGAACCGAACCUCCGAGGGAUUUCGAUUUGGACUUACAAGUCAAAAGUAAUACAUCACUUAUUGAUCCAAAAUAAUUUGAUCAACGGAACAAGUUACCCUAGGGAUAACAGCGCAAUCCUAUUCUAGAGUUCAUAUCGACAAUAGGGUUUACGACCUCGAUGUUGGAUCAGGACAUCCCGAUGGUGCAGCAGCUAUCAAAGGUUCGUUUGUUCAACGAUUAAAGUCCUACGUGAUCUGAGUUCAGACCGGAGUAAUCCAGGUCGGUUUCUAUCUAUUAAACAAUUUCUCCCAGUACGAAAGGACAAGAGAAAUAAGGCCCACUUCACCAAAAGCGCCUUCAACCUAAUAGAUGAUAUAAUCUUAAUCUAUACAGUUCCCUCUACUCAAUGCCCAAGAGAUCGGGUUU
rnacentral:rRNA from 1 species